GCAUGCGGCUCACCUGAUGGUAAGUGACUACCACCGCCCAUGAUCACCCGCAACACCGGAGGCAUUGCAAGUGUGCUGCCGGCCUUUUAAAAAGGAAUAUGCUCUUUUCUUGAAGGUUAUGUUGUCGUAUCGGUUCGGAAAUACUGCUGCUGGAAGUUGAUUCCAAAGAGUGGUUGUGCGUGGAAGAAAGUGCCUUGAAAAACGCACGGUGGAGGACCGCCACUCGUCCAGAUGGGGCAAAGGAGCAUGCGGCUCACCUGAUCACGCACAACACCAGCGGCAUUGCAGGUGUGCUGCCGGCCUUUUAAAAAGGAAUAUACUCUUUUCUUGAAAGUUAUGUUUUCGUAUCGGUUCGGAAAUACUGCUGCUGGAAGUUGAUUCCAAAGAAUGGUUGUGCGUGGAAGAAAGUGCCUUGAAAAACGCACGGUGGAAGACCGCCACUCGUCCAGAUGAUUGGGAUGAAACUUUAGUUUGUGGCGAGUUGUACGGUGGUGAAAAUCAGCAGCAGGGUUCUACGAAAAAACUGGAGGAACGACAAAAAAUAAUGAAAACUCAUGAAAGAUUAAUAACAAUAAAUAAUCAUAUUGUAAAAACUGUACUCCUCACUGCAUACCAGACGACAAAAGAUUUUAUAAUGAAAUAAUUUAAAUUUGUAUUUUGUAAUUAAUGUGUAUUUUAAAAAUAAUAAUAAUAGUAUGUAUAAUUAAUAAUGUAACUGUAAACUAAUGGGUAUAUACCUGAAAAUAAAGAUUUAUUUAUUUAUUUAUUUAUUAUUAUUUAUAUGUAUAUAUAACGAAAGCGACUUAGAAAUCUUUUAACACCAGAGGGCGACCCCUCACUGAACUAUAGCAGUAUUUUGUUAAAAUGUAACGAUAUUUAUUUGCUGUGAAUGUGGUAUAUAAUGGGUAAAUAAUAAGUACAUAUAUAGAUAGAUAGAUACCCUUUAUUGUUUCCUCCAAAAGAUUACAAUAGUAAACAUAUUAUAAAUAUAAAUAAUUACAAGAAAUAAUCACAAUGAGAAAACAACGGGCGACCUUAUUGCUAACAGCGAUCUCUUCCAGGCAAUCUUUAGAUGGAGAAGAGUAAUUAUAAACAAUUUGGUGGGAGGCACGAUGAAAAAUUUUGUUAGUUCUAAAUAUAGGAGAUGUGAUACAUAUAAUAAUAUAAAUAUUAUAUAGUAUAAUAUAUAUACAUAUCUAGUAUUUGUUUGUCAAUUAACAGCUCAUAAUAUUAUUCACAUAUCAUUGCUCUUUUAAGGGUAAAGCAAUAAACUGAGUUGUGACCAUUUUGUGUUACUAUACUAUAUGUUUUUAUAUAGAUAGUUAGGUGCCGGCCGUUAGGUUG